CCUACGGUGUGCAGCAGUGGGGGAUAUUGCACAAUGGGGGGAACCCUGAUGCAGCGACGCCGCGUGGGUGAAGGAGUGCUUCGGCAUGUAAAGCCCUAUCGGCAGGGAAGAAGCAAGACGGUACCUGACUAAGAAGCCCCGGCUAACUACGUGCCAGCAGCCGCGGUAAUACGUAGGGGGCGAGCGUUAUCCGGAUUUAUUGGGUUUAAAGGGUGCGCAGGCGGAUUUUUAAGUCAGCGGUCAAAUCGUGGGGCUCAACCCCAUCCAGCCGGUGAAAAUGGGGAUCUAGAGUGUGCGAGAGGUAUGCGGAAGGCGUGGGUUAGCGGUGAAAGGCAUAGAGAGCACGCAGAACCCAGAUUGCGAAGGCAGCAUACCGGUGCAAAACUGACGCUCAGGCACGAAAGCGUGGGUAUCGAACAGGAUUAGAUACCCCGGUAGUC
rnacentral:rRNA from 1 species